ACUUAUCAUAGCACAUUAUAAUCCAAUGAGGGAAACCAGAGCUUCAAGGUAACGUGUGGGAUGAAUUUUUUGAAACUAAUGAUAAUUUAAUGCCCAAUGCUGGUGAUGAUGACCACAAGGUGCAAUUUGCAUUACAGGCUGAGAGCUGUGAUGCAAAUUCUAGCAGCGUGGAUGAUACUAUCUUAAGAGACAAGUGUUGGUGGAGUAUGAUGGCCUGUCUCAAUAUCAGGUGUUUUUUUUAUUUCCUUUGUGGUGAUUGCCAGUUGUUUUAUGAAGCAUAUGGACCAAUAGUGUCCAACAAUUAAUAAAAAUCAUGUUGAAUGUUCCCUUAGAAGUCUUUGCUUCGAUAUACUUGCAAUGAAGGUUGCAGAGUAGCUCUCUUUUUAUGGAAUGAUGAGCAUAUUGUGAGUUUAAUUUCUUAAAAUAGAGUUGUAAUAUAUCCAAUAAUUGGAAUCAGACAGUUUAAGGACUCACUUUGAAUAUUCGCAAGAUGUUCUUAGAAAUAGAGGUUGAGUUAUUCGAACA